AUUUGAUGUAGCAGAGGGGGCAGCAUUGGAGUGCGCUGGUCGGAUAAUUAAAUUGCCCAGAUUCAGUUAGCUUGCAAGGACAUGGGCAAUGCGGGAAAAGUCUAAGUUAAUUGUUGCAUCACUUUUGCAUGCAAAGGGAGUGGUCAUCUGGAAGUUCCUUUGAAAAAACUGGCCGUUUCUAUUGUUAGAACGCUUUCCUCUUUGUCUUUGGGUGUCGUGGUUGCUUGGGUGGCCAUCCCUACUUUGGAUGGCAGAAAUGAAACGUUAAACAAUUCUAUCGGAUAAUCUUCGUGACGAUGUAAUUUACAUGGAUGCAGCACCAUGGAAAUUGCAUAUAAUCAAUCUUAUUUAGUGACUUUUA